rnacentral:piRNA from 3 species
AGAGGUCGAUGGAUCGAAACCAU